UACGUAGGUGGCAAGCGUUACUCGGAAUCACUAGGCGUAAAGCGCAGGUAGGAGGUUUGGUAAGUCUGUUGUGAAAGCUCCCGGCUUAACUGGGAGAGGUCAACGGAAACUACUAGGCUAGAGUGCGGUAGAGGUAGCUGGAAUUCCCGGUGUAGCGGUGAAAUGCGUAGAUAUCGGAAGGAACACCAGUGGCGAAAGCGGCUUCCUAGUCCAGCACCGACGUUCAGGCACGAAAGCGUGGGGAGCAAACAGG
rnacentral:rRNA from 1 species